rnacentral:rRNA from 1 species
AGUGAACGCUGGCGGUAGGCCUAACACAUGCAAGUCGAACGGCAGCACAGUAAGAGCUUGCUCUUACGGGUGGCGAGUGGCGGACGGGUGAGGAAUACAUCGGAAUCUACUUUUUCGUGGGGGAUAACGUAGGGAAACUUACGCUAAUACCGCAUACGACCUACGGGUGAAAGCAGGGGAUCUUCGGACUUUGCGCGGUUGAAUGAGCCGAUGUCGGAUUAGCUAGUUGGCGGGGUAAAGGCCCACCAAGGCGACGAUCCGUAGCUGGUCUGAGAGGAUGAUCAGCCACACUGGAACUGAGACACGGUCCAGACUCCUACGGGAGGCAGCAGUGGGGAAUAUUGGACAAUGGGCGCAAGCCUGAUCCAGCCAUACCGCGUGGGUGAAGAAGGCCUUCGGGUUGUAAAGCCCUUUUGUUGGGAAAGAAAAGCAGCAGGUUAAUACCCCGCUGUUCUGACGGUACCCAAAGAAUAAGCACCGGCUAACUUCGUG